UUAUUGUGAAUUUUAGAAUGCUUAAAAGGCCUAUGUUAUAUAUGAUGAAAUUUUGGACCUCUAUGUAGUAGAGAGUAGCUUGGUAGGCCUAUAGUUGCAUUUAGCAUUCUAUAUGAGACGUGGUUUCAUGCUCCUAUAGUGUAAAUGAGAUUGGAUUCAUGCAUUUAAACCAAAGUUUAUUUGAGACAUGAAAGUUGACAAAUUUGCCAUAUAGAGCUAUCGAACUAGAAUGUAUGUGAAUUGGAGAGCUAAUGUCAUCAAGCGGCAUUGAGCUCGGGACAUGUGUGAACCUAGUGGUUAGAGCCAUUGAGGGAUUGGGUAUAUGUUGAACAUUAGAUUGUCUAAGUGUCAUCAAGGGGCACUAGGCGUAAUGAAUGUUGGAACUUCAUCUUGUGACUUAGACUAGAUCUUCGGGAUGCUAGUUAUGAUACCAUGUUAGAGACAUGAGGAUUGGACACUUGAGACUUGGACUACGCUUGCUUGCCAUUUGUGCUCAUUCGCACAUGCUUGUGAGGGUCGCUCCCUACAAGCCGGCACUCCGGAGUUAGCCUACGCGACUUAUGUUCGCUCGUGCGGUAUUGAGAAGCCUACGGGGUCGAGUGGGACAGACACAUUCCAAGAGUAGGGAUGUUGGGCUACCACAGGCACUUAGGCGGCACAAGCUGGACUACCUUUGGUAGGUCCUUAAUUGGAAAUGGAAAUCGACACGGUGUUGAGAAUGGUUAAUCGCUACUAGAUAGGUUUAGUAGUUGAAUUACAUUUAUAUGCUUUUAGCAUAGUGUUGAGACAUGUAGUAUACUUGAUAGUCUCCUUUUGCAUUAGAGCAUACUUGGUUGCCAUGACAGAACUUAUGCAUAAUGUAUUCAUAAAGGUUAAUGACAUACUAUUUUGAUAUCGUAGAUGUACAUCACCAUGACAU
rnacentral:lncRNA from 1 species